AACGAACGCUGGCGGCAGGCCUAACACAUGCAAGUCGAGCGCGCCCUUCGGGGUGAGCGGCGGACGGGUGAGUAACGCGUGGGAAUGUGCCCUUCUCUGCGGAAUAGCCUCGGGAAACUGAGAGUAAUACCGCAUACGCCCUUUGGGGGAAAGAUUUAUCGGAGAAGGAUCGGCCCGCGUUGGAUUAGGUAGUUGGUGGGGUAAUGGCCCACCAAGCCGACGAUCCAUAGCUGGUUUGAGAGGAUGAUCAGCCACACUGGGACUGAGACACGGCCCAGACUCCUACGGGAGGCAGCAGUGGGGAAUCUUAGACAAUGGGGGCAACCCUGAUCUAGCCAUGCCGCGUGAGUGAUGAAGGCCUUAGGGUUGUAAAGCUCUUUCAGCUGGGAAGAUAAUGACGGUACCAGCAGAAGAAGCCCCGGCUAACUCCGUG
rnacentral:rRNA from 1 species